AAAGGUAGCUCUGCUGCUUCCUGUGUGGGCAGUAAUAUGAACUAAGCAGCCCAAAGUCUCACCACAAUGCUGCCUGGCACCCGGGGAACACUGUAGGAGGGUCAGCCCAACCAUGUCAGCUCUUCAGGCUACCAAUUAAGAACCACUGCCCUACACGACUUGACCAAGGUCAAUCAGGGCAGGGAUUUAUUACCCCUUCUUCAUCCAACAUCUUGCAUGUUCAAGGCAGCCACAGAAGUGGAGAGUUAUUCCAUCCCAUAAACCUCUACAACCUGCAGGCAGUAGGAGCCAGUGAAGAGAAAAGAUGCAAAAUUAAUCUUUUGGAUGUUAUGAGCCAUUUGGGUACAUUUCUCCCUUGUGUUUAUCAUGAAUGGAAGCAUUAGAAAUCCCUCAGAACAGCCUGCUCUCACGUGAUACACAGCCCCAUUCUUUAUACUGCAAAACAGAUGAACAGUUCCAAUAAGCACCCAUUUUUGGAGGGGCUGCAAGCCCUCCCCAGACUCUGGAGCUCUUGAUACUUCCUCAUCAGGAGUCAGAAUAAAGCUUCUUUUUCCUUUUU